rnacentral:rRNA from 1 species
AACGCGAAGAACCUUACCAGUCCUUGACAUGUCCACUAUGGGUUUGAGAGAUCAGAUCCUUCACUUCGGGUGGGUGGAACACAGGUGCUGCAUGGCUGUCGUCAGCUCGUGUCGUGAGAUGUUGGGUUAAGUCCCGCAACGAGCGCAACCCUCAUCUUCAGUUGCCCCCGGGUAAGGCCGGGCACUCUGAAGAAACCGCCGGUGACAAGCCGGAGGAAGGCGGGGAUGACGUCAAGUCCUCAUGGCCCUUACGGACUGGGCUACACACGUACUACAAUGGUGGUGACAAUGGGCAGCGAAAGCGCGAGCUGGAGCCAAUCCCCAAAAGCCAUCUCAGUUCAGAUUGCACUCUGCAACUCGAGUGCAUGAAGUUGGAAUCGCUAGUAAUGCUAUAUCAGAACGAUAGCGUGAAUACGUCCCGGGCCUUGUACACACCGACAUA